rnacentral:rRNA from 1 species
GAUGAACGCUGGCGGCGUGCUUAACACAUGCAAGUCGAACGAUGAAGCCCAGCUUGCUGGGUGGAUUAGUGGCGAACGGGUGAGUAACACGUGAGUAACCUGCCCUUAACUCUGGGAUAAGCCUGGGAAACUGGGUCUAAUACCGGAUAGGAGCGUCCACCGCAUGGUGGGUGUUGGAAAGAUUUAUCGGUUUUGGAUGGACUCGCGGCCUAUCAGCUUGUUGGUGAGGUAAUGGCUCACCAAGGCGACGACGGGUAGCCGGCCUGAGAGGGUGACCGGCCACUCUGGGACUGAGACACGGCCCAGACUCCUACGGGAGGCAGCAGUGGGGAAUAUUGCACAAUGGGCGCAAGCCUGAUGCAGCGACGCCGCGUGAGGGAUGACGGCCUUCGGGUUGUAAACCUCUUUCAGUAGGGAAGAAGCGAAAGUGACGGUACCUGCAGAAGAAGCACCGGCUAACUACGUG